CGCUAAGCGACGUGUGUCCCGACCAUCGACCAUAGACCAUCGACAUCAUCGUGCCAUUCAAGCGGUCGUCGUCAUCGUCGUCGUAGUCGUCGUCAUCGUAGUCAUUCGUUCGCAUUCGCUGCCCCCUGACACCCACCCACACGAAUACACAACCACCCACUCUCUCGCUCUCUCAUUGUCUGUCUGGGAACCGCAUUCGUGGACAGGCUUCGGCUCGGCUGCUGCUGCUGGCACCUUCGGGGGGCUGUUGGCGGUUCGGCUGCUUUUGCUGCUUUUCCGCUAACCAAACGCUCGUCACGGGACGUGCAGCAAAAACAGUUUACAUUUGUUUUUCCGCGUGCGAGCACACGUUGACGGGUCUGUCUGCGAUACAAGCUCUUUUUCAAUUUUCCAAGCACACUAUCACCACAUACCUUUACCGUACCGCAACUGUUUCGUUCUUUAAUCUUUUCCGUUUUAAAUUAACCGACAACUGAAAACUGAAAACCCGCUUCGCGACACUUUCCCCUGUUCUACGCUUCCCGUCUCCCCUUCGUGGCUGUGCGUGCUUGAGUGUGUGUUUCGAUUCGAGUAAGCUUUAUUUUCGGCCUCCGAUCCUGAUUCAAGAAACCAAUUGCAGAUCACAAAUUUCGUAAAAACUCAAUUCCAAAGUAUUUAAAUGUGAGCAAUUUCCGAUAGAGUGCAGUCAUUCGAUGAAUAAUGUUGAAAGGAAACUCCUCCAUUAUGUAGAAAAGAGAAACCCCAAAAAAUGCAUCUAAAAUAAUUCAGAGCUCCAGAAUGCUUUAUUGGGAACUUUCGAUUUCUUUAAAGUUUGAAGACUCUGUCUGGAAUGUAAAAAAGGGAUGGAUUCCGAAGUCUGUUAAGAUUUCAUUUCAGAGUUUUCUAAGGUGAAAAUAUUCAAGCAUCCAAGGCAAACAUUUUCGAAAAAAGGGAAGCUUCGGAACCCAGACGAUUUUCGAAAGAACUCGAAACUCGACAGGUUUUGAAGAAGUGUGUGUGAGUUACCAUUUUUUUUUUUGGUGCAACUUCUUCUGUCUGUCUCUGUCGCUGUCCGUAUCGCUGCCAGCGUCGCUGUUGCAGUGUCGCUGCCGCAGCCGAGGCCGCAUCGUUUUGGCGUUGCGUGCGAAGUUUUGCCGAGACCGAGCGACCACCCGACCGACCGACCUGCAACGACGGAGUGGCGGCAGCGGCCGGCCUCUGCUCCUCUGAAAGCGGAGUAAAACCGGAGUCGAGUCGCAUUCCGAGCCGUGUCGAGAUCGAAGCGCAGAACGGAAGUGCAGUGCAAAGCGGAAACGGAAGCUGAAACAGUAUUCCCACUUAAUACUUGGCACGCCAGAGCGCGCGCACACACACACACAUACACAUAAACACACACGCGGACUCUUACACACACACACAUACUCAGAGAGAGUGAGAGAUGGAUGGAUGGGUCUUUCUGUUUUAAUUAUUUUUGUAUUCUUGUCGCGCGACUUUCAACUCGGCGAGAAUUUUUUUAAACAUUUUUUUAACGUGUCUCUUUUUUAUAAAACAACAAACAAAAAACCCACAACAACAACAACGAUAGCAGCAACAAAAAAAAAAACAACAACGUGCGGUGUUGUAGGCUUGCCACAUAGAUCGAAACGAAUGUCCAAAUUCAAAUUCAAAUGUAAAUCCAAAUGAUUAAAAUGAUAAUACAAAAUGCAGUUGCAACAAUAAUUACGAGUACUCAUAUAAUGCCAACAGCAAAAUGUUUCAACAAAUGCAGUGCGUGUGCAUGAAAAACCAAAGCCAAAAGCAACAGCGACAGCAACUCGAGGAAAAGUCACAGGGAAAAGUACUUUGGACAAGUGAAAACCCGCUCGAACUAUAAAAAGUAAAAGAAAAUACAAAAAAAUGAUCAUGGAAUGCCCCAUAGGAAAGAGAAAUCCCGCCCAAGAAUCUCCCGGCUGGACUGCCACUGCCACUGCGGCAGAGUGAGGAGUGCCUCAAGGUGUGUGUCCCCCCCCCCCCCCGAAUACUAUGUACCAUCCCAGUGUGUGAUUUUCCUGCAUGCGUUUUGUUUUGUUUUCCGUUGCUUAAAUGAUAUUUGACUUCCGCUUUUAUGGAACCAUCAUCCCCACAGCGGGAGGGGAAAAACUGACCUACUCUUCCAAUGGAAAUCAAAGCAUAUUCUAUAUAAAUAAAUUUGUAUCUCAAAGUAACAAUGAAACAAACAACAAAUAGGUAUUUUCGUGAGCACCUCAAACAAUGGAAUUCCAUUCCUGCUCAAGUGCGAGGCAGAGAAUAUCUCUCCAAUACUCAACAAUCCAUAAAUAUAAAUGAAUAAAAAUAUACAUAAAUGUUGGUCUAAAUGUAUUUGGAUUAUUCAUCAAAGAUGGGGUGGAAUGGGAUGGAUAUAAAUAUGCUGAAAUUAUUUCAUCAAAAAUGUGAACCGUUCCCACCGCUCCCACUCCGAUUGGGACUUCAAAUAAAAGGUUUUACGCUUUUUAAACAAUAUAAAUUAUAGAAUUUUAUAAACAAUUCUCCAGGGAACCAGCUGAAGUUCCCCCCCAGACAAAAAACAUAAACAAAACGGCAGAAACGAACAAGAAUUACAUAUUUCUUUCAAAAUAAAUCUCGUUUUGAUUUGAUGAUUUGUUCAUGUCUUUCGGCAAGUUUUCGGGCCAGGGCAUCGCUCAUUGAAAACCCAGCGAACCGCAGUACUAGACACAUCUCCUUCUCCUCCAGUUCUGAAUGGAUCUCUCUAGAUCUCGAUCUCUAGAGACCCGAGAACUAUUAAUAAUUUAUAUACAGAGGGAGAGCUGUCCCUCUCCCUUUCCUACCCCCAAAUAUGUUGAUGGUUUAAGAUUUUUCAGACAUGUCUAGACUUUUGCUGCUAAUUAGACAAAUUUUUGUAUCUCUUCUGAUGGCAAAAUUCUCACAUUGUAUUUAUUUGUUGCGGAAGCAUUAAAUUAUCCAAAAGCAUCUUGAUCAGAACAUUCCAGCCAUUGCUUUUGUAGACUUUAUCUCAUGGAAUUUCUUGAAAAAACGUAAUUUAAAUAAUUGGGAUAUGUGAGAUACUUUAAAAAUUUUUCGGGACCCGUUUCAGUGAUUCAUUUGGGUUUAUUUCUCAAAUGUCACUAUUGACAGCUGUUAUUAUUCAGCGAUACCUUUCCGUUGAUGAGAAUUAUACUUUCUUAUGGAAAUGGUUGCUUUUGUAUCUAUUUCUUAGCAAGUUUUGAGAUUCAUGCGAUUCAUGCAAAUGAGUGCAAAAAUUAAAUAAUCGGAUUAGUUUUUUGUGAAUCGUAUUAGAAUACAUUUGCGUUUUGAGUUUCGUUCGUAUGGAAGAUUUUCAAGCUACAAAGUGCCAUGACGCGUAUGAAUUUUUAUUACAUUGAAUACACAUUGAAUCAAAUCGAAUUUCUGUGCAUAUUAAUGUAUGGUGAAGGCUUGAUCAGAGAAAACUUUGCAAAAACUCUUUGCCAUUUAUAAAGCAAUUCACAUAAAUUUCAUCACAACGGCUCAUGAAUAAUUUGAAAAUUCUGUCACCAUCACUGAAGCUCAAUCAGGAAAAUUAUUAAAGAGGUGGAGGCCGUCCACUUGGACUUCCUCUCUCAGAAAUGACACCCAAUGAAUAGGCCACUUUGCGGGGCCCAUUUAUAUUAAAUCAUUAAAAAAAUGUACAUGCAAAUGUGGAAAAAAUCACAUCAAAAUGGAAGCAAAAAAUUAAUGCAAAUGUUGGCGCUUUCAUAUUUAAUAUGCAAAAAUAAUACAAAAACAAAACCAUUGGAAAAUGCAGAGUGCAUAGCAAAGUGCAGUGGACAAACAAAAAAUUGAAAUAAUUAUGCCAUAUAAUGACAUAUGAAAUUUCAUUUCUGUUUUUGCAUCUCGUUAUUCGAUUUUUAUGUACACAAGCUGCAAAAGCCCCAGCAUUGAAGGGGAAUUCAUGUCCAUAAACUGAAAAAUGGUCCAAAAUAAUAAAAAAUUUUAAAGAACAAACCCCAGAAGCUCAUUCAAUGGAAGAUGAACAAACAUAAAAACCAGUUUCAAACAACAAGCAUAGUGGAAAAAUAUAAAAAAUAAAUUCAUGUGAUAUAAAUUUACAUACGAUGUGCCAGCACGUCAAGCGUACCAAAUUUCAUCAGAAACGCAGACAAAAUGUAAUGCCUAUAAAGUGUAUGGUAGCAGAAGGGUAUAUUGUCUAACAAGACUCCAACUUGAAGAAUGCAGUGUACACAUGUAUGUUCAUAUAUUACGAUUUUCCAGCUAUCAUUCUGUGAUUUUACUUUACUCUGAAAUUGAUACCCAAUUCUAAGCAUAAUCCAUUCAUAAAUCAAUUUUAUAUAUUCACCAUAUUAUUUCUAUUUGUAGAAAUUCUCGAAUAAUAUGCUGAUCAAAUUAAAAUUCAGAUUGGAGAUUUAUUUGUUAAAAAUGUUUACACAAAAUAAAAUUCACAUUUUCAUUGCAACAACAUGAGAAAAUAAACCAUGGAAAAGUUAACAGGAAAAUUGUGGACAAUAUAUACACAAAUCUAUGUGGGCUAAGCCUGUUGAAAAACGAAUUAGUUAUUUUCCUUGAGCAUCUUUUGAGGAGUCUUACCAUGUCCUGGGUAUCUAUACUUCGAGAACUUCUGCUCAUCAUAGAAAUGAUUGCUGCUGCUGUAGUUGCUGCUCGUUCCCUAGCACGAGUAUGACCUAAUUUACGAGAGGGAAAAGGAAACAAAAUAGCAGAACAAAAAAACGUACAAUGCUAAAAAGAGAGCGACAAAGCGAGUGAGUCGCGGAACAUGUCGCAUAUUUCUCGCCUUUUUUUAAGCCAGAAAAAUCCAUAUACAUAUAUACAGAUGGAGCGAGAAAGGGGGGAUGGAUGAUGGGAGAUGGAAGAUAUAGCUACUGUUUGAUAUGGAGCUCCCUAUAGAUGGCAAAAAGCGGCAUCGGGUAGCGGCAGAGGCAGUGGCCGAGGCAGAGGCAAAGGCAGAGACACUGCAUAAUGGCAAAUAAUGCGGGCUAAAAACAAAAGUGACUGCUGCUGCUGCUGCUGCUGCUGCUGCGGUGCUGCUUCCUUUAUUGUUGUCUCGACAUAUACCCGGCAUUGUUGGGCCUGCCUGGUCGCAGGACUGGCGUUUGGGCCUGCCCUGCCCUGGCCUGGCCUGGCCUCAUUUGUCCCAGUUUAAAUGGUCUUUAGGUCGAAGAGUGAAUCAGAUACAUGCAAUGGGGCAUGAGAGUCUAAGUGAAGAAGAGAGAGAGAGAGAGAGAGAGAGCGUGAGAGAGAGAAAGAGAGUCGCGCAUUAAACCAUUGCAGAAAUUUUGCAUGCAUCGUAUCUGUGUGUUUGUGUGUGUGCCUGUGGGUAUAUGUGUGUUAUGUAGCUGUGUGUAUGUUUAUUUGUUUGCUGUUGGCUUUGAUUUGGUUUCUGGCCCGAUGGUCCUGGCCCUGCUAUCGCCAUCAAAUCAGGCACACAAACAUAAUUGUUGUCUCUGUAGAAGUGUAAGGGUGCAUGCAUGUGUUAGUGUAAAUAGCAAUUACAGGCCAACACUAUCACUCUCUUUCUUCCUCGCUCUCGCUCUGUAUUAUUCGCUUUUACCAUAUCUUUGUCUCAUGCUUUAGUGGGUAAAUGCUAUAUAUGUACAUACGAGUGCAAUACUCAAACGAAUGCCCCGAAAAUCAGAGAAUGCAAUGAGGGGACGAGGCACCACUUAAGACAUCAAAACUAAAAGACCAACUACUAAAACAACUACCAAAGUUAUACGUAGAGUAGAAACAAUAAAAACAUAUUACAACAGCUGUUAAAACAAAACCACCAAGAACCACAAAUAGCCGCAAAAAAAUGGAACAGAACAUCGACAUCUGAAUAGUCACUAUAAUAAUUUAAAUAACUGCAGCAGCAAUUAAAAAACAAUUACACUAAUAAAAAUAUUGCCAUUAUAAAAAAAGCAAGAAAUCCCAAAUUAUCAGUAAAAUACAAAAUAACAACAGCUACAAUAGUUCCAAGAAAAUAAUAAUUUCAACUAUUUUUUAACAACAGCAGUUAAAAUCACAGUAGCGAAAAGAAAUUUGUGUAGCUAAAAGAGUAACUAUGGCACCAAUUUGACAAUAAACCGCCUCAAAAUAAUACUCCAACGACUAUACUACAUCAACGAAAUUCUAAAGAAAAAGCGUUUCUUGAUACUGAAAAUAAAGUUACACCAACAAAUAAUGUCGCCCUCGUAGCUGAGGCAGCAGCAGCCAUGCACUUCAGCGUCGUCUGCGCCCAUAAGUAUGCUUCGAUAAGUGUGAAUGAGCGUGCUUCGGGGCUUGCUGAUGAGACGAUGAUGGAGCUGAAGAGCAAGUGGAAACAAGACCCAGAACAAAAACAAGAACAAGCGGUGGACGAAUGUAAUAAGAGGGGUAGGACAGGGAAACAUUGGAGAGGGUCUCGGGUACAUAACGAUGCACUAACUAAGUUAAAGUGCUUGGAAUAACGAGAAGACAGGCCAUACGGCACACAGAAUACAUAUAUAUUGAAGGAGAUAAUACACAGGCUUACAGAAGGUGUCCAUACAAUAUUUGGUAGCCACAGUGUAAAAACAACCAGAGAUAAUUAAGAAGAACGUUGAGGAGAGGUGGAAAAAAUUGAGUGAAUAAAUAAUCAACAAAAUUCCUAAAUAAUUCUGAAUGCCUUAAACGCCUUAACCCGCAGACAUUUUUGAAACAAAGAGGCCCCUUCAAAGAGGCGGAAAAUUUGAUAGAGAAUAUUUGAUAUUGGACGAUGGUUUCAGCGGCCUGUGAGUGUGCCUGCACCUAGUCCUCUACCAUGGACCCAUAUGCAAAUUGCUGCAAACUAACAAAAUUAGACUGUAGGAAAAAACACCAAAAUUUAAUUACAUAGUUGGGGGCACACGGCUCACCAGUGAGGCUCCUCUGCCUCUAGAGAAUAAUGGGGUAAAAAGAGCAAAGAGGCGCAGUGUGGGAAAGACAGACAUUGCAUUACACGAUAUUUAUUUAAUGGCAUGACUUUUCAUACAUAUAACGCCGCCAAUUUAUGUCGCCUGCCCUUUCUUUUCUGUCCCCCUUCUUCAACCGCUACGUUCUGGCUGUACUCCACGUUGUGACCGACAUUCGACAACCCCUGAAACCCCUGCAACCACCAAGUGAGUUUCUCCAGCAAGUUCGACUUUUGGCUUUGUCUUGAAAACGAAAGCAGCCCGGAAAUGUUUGUGUUGGCCUCGUCGUACCAUAUAGUAACUACUUAACUGUACUAGACCAUAUAUAAACAAGAAAGGAGGGGGGCCGAUGGAAAGGGAGGAAGGAGAAGAGUAAAGAGAAGUGGUAGCCAAAAGAGAAGGCGAAGAAUGGGAAGGCGCGAGCGAUAUGUGCAUAUAUUAUGCAGUCACCUCCAGUCACUUUCUGCACUUUUCACCUCACUCCUCACCUUUUAUGCACUUAACUCCUCCCUCCCGCCACCAUCUUACUCUCUCUCUCUCUCUCUCUCACAGUCUCUCUUCCUCUUUCUUACUACUUCUUCUCUCUGUCUCUCUUCUUUACCCCAUUCUCCCAUUUGUGGCAACUUUUCGCUUGCCUUUUUUGCAGUUUGGCUUUAAGUUGGCUUUAAUCAGGCAUUGCAUAUCCAUAUGUAUAUGUAUAUGUAUGUAUGUACAAAUACAUACAGAUAUGUAUAUAUGUAGCUUAUAUGGCUUAUAUACAAACAUGUCUGACAAGACCGAAAGAGCCCCUCUAUCUUUCGCCCCCCCUAGACACUCUUCUGUCUCAAUAAGUUUGGGCUUUUCGUAUGCAAUUUUCGCAUUUGUCUAUCUCACUCGCACUGCGCUGUGGUCUGCUUCGGUUUUUUGGGUUGAAAGGGGGGUGGGCUGGGCCACGCCCAUCUGUUAAAUAGCAUCCAUCGUUCCAUCGUUGUUGUAGCUCGCAGUUGUAGUGUUUGUUGUCGUUGUUGUUGUCGAUGGUACGUGUUGGGAAUGUAGGACAUUGUUAUGCAGGCAGGGGCAUAAAGGAAGAGCAAGGCGAAUCGAAUGAGAGUUGAACAACGCAGGAGCCCAGGCAUGGGAGAGUGCAUGGGAGGAGAGGAGAUGUGGGCUCGUUGGCAAGGGGUUAUGGGUGGUGGGAGAGCGAGGCAGGCCGGCCCAAAGGCAAUGAACGAACGAAAUGUGCAACACGCAAAAGUUUUUGUCAUUAUUGGCCCAUGAGGUGAAAUUGAUUGCAACAUAAUUCAAUGGGAACAUGUUGGUUCUCUCUCCUUCGUUCCACAAUUUUCUCUGACACUGGGACUGCGUCUUAGCCCAGAAAGCGAAAGGGAGGAGAAGAAAAUCGAGUCUUGAAUGAAGCACACAAUGUAGAAAUAAUGAACUGUGAUCAUAUUAAUAUGUUGAUAAUUAGUUACCAGUUAUGCGUUAUAAAAUAAGAAAUUUAAAUUUAAUUUGUUAAAUUGUUAUAUUUAAUAAAAUUCCCACUGUUUUCCAUUUUGCAGACGGCGUCAGAGGAAGCAAACAAAACUCGAAACUCAAAGAAAAGACAAUUUUUAAAGACAAAGCAAACCAACCAACAAACAACCAAAACCAAAGAGCAAACAGAAC
rnacentral:lncRNA from 1 species